ensembl:lncRNA novel transcript
UACAUGUGGAGUUCUCUAAACUGGUUCAGACAGCUGGACCCCAUUUUGUGUUUGUUUUUUCAAACAGAUUCUUCGUGCUCUAAACCAAAUCCAGCUGACCUCCUGAAGAGCGCUGAUCCUGCACUAUACAUGUGGUUCUUCUCCUAUGCCUCCCGACUUGUCAGAGAAUUUCUUGAGGACAUGGAUGACUGUCUGGCAGCGACAGUUCCAGUCCAGGGACAUCCCUGUGUGGUUUCUGAGAAGGAUGAGGAGUUCAAGAAGUGAAGGCUCUGUCAUACAUAAAGAGAAAACAAUUUCACUGUGCAAUCCAGGAGAGACAAAGCAGUGUAGCAUGUGGCUUCAGGAUUCUGGCCAGCAGAGAUUUCCAUCUCUCUGCCAGGCAACCUAAGUACUUCAGGGGACUGUGAACCCAGCUCCAGGGCCAGGGUGGAAUGAUUGGGCUAAGGAUAAUUCCUUAUCCCAGGGAACUCAGGUCAAAACCAACCAGGGUGUGGCAUAUUCCUGCAGUAGAAUCUGGAAUGGGCUUGUGACCCAGCUCAGGCCAGUGAAACAUGAAGGAAGGCUUGGCGGAGAAUUCUGAAGAAGGAGCUUCUCAGCUUUUAAGAGAAGCUCACCAUAGGAAACUCCCUCUCUCCCUCUGGACUUGUUGGUUUAAAGACGCAAAACCUGGAGCUGCUACAGACAUUUUUCACCACUGCAAGUGAAGACUUCUGCCCCAUAGACAGCGACUGGAAGCUGGAUCAGGCCAACCCUGAAGAUCACUCUGUCUCUGGAUGUCGGUUACACAAAUCAAUACAUUUCCAUGUGUUAAAGCAAUUCGACUUGGAUUUUACAUAUAUUUUUGAAACUGAAAACAUUGUAAUCUAUAUAUCUACUUAGAAAGAUGUGAAAUAUCCACCUAAUAAUAAUCAUUUGGGGUUACUAAUAAAAAUUAUUUUUACUUUUCUUCAUUGCUUACUUUAUAAUGAGCUGUUUCAUUUUUUAAAACACAAAAAGUUAUUAUUCUUGCAUAUUAAAUUGUUAAACAUAAAAGUAAUAUGUACUCAUUGGAAAAAAAUCCAGACACCUUCUCUUCCAGGUGACCUAAAUAGAAUUAGGGAGAGAGAAAAAUAAUGAUCUCUGAUCAGAAAAUAUAAUAAAAAUGAUUUUAGAAAGAGUCAACAUAUUUACUCUGCUUAGAAGUUUACACAUAUAAUCUCAUUUAAUUUUCACAACAUAUUAUGCAGUAGGAAGCAUCAUUAGCUCCAUUUUAUAGACAAAAAAAAUCUCUUGCAUUCUGCAAUUGUCUAAAAUUACUUUGAAAAGAGACAGUUUUUAAUAGCAUAGUUAAAGAUAAAAGAUUUAUAACAUACACAUGAUAGAGAAAAUUAAUAUAGUCAUGCAUUACUUCAUGAUGGAAAUAUGUUCUGAGAAAUGUGUUGUUAUAUGAUUUUGUUGCUGUGUAAACAUCACAGAGUGAACCCACACAUCCUCGAAGGUAUAGCCUAAUGCUCUUAGGUUACAAAGCUGUACAGCAUGUAACUCUACUGAAUACUGUGGUCAUUAUAACAAAUUGGUAUCUGUGUAUCUAAACAUUAAAAAGGUACACUACAAA